UGGGGAAUAUUGCACAAUGGGGGAAACCCUGAUGCAGCGACGCCGCGUGAACGAAGAAGGUAUUCGUAUCGUAAAGUUCUGUCCUAUGGGAAGAUAAUGACAGUACCAUAGAAGAAAGCUCCGGCUAAAUACGUGCCAGCAGCCGCGGUAAUACGUAUGGAUCGAGCGUUGUCCGGAAUUAUUGGGCGUAAAGGGUACGCAGGCGGUUUAAUAAGUCGAAUGUUAAAGAUCGGGGCUCAACCCCGCAAAGCAUUGGAAACUGAUAAACUUGAGUAGUGGAGAAGAAAGUGGAAUUCCUAGUGUAGUGGUGAAAUACGUAGAUAUUAGGAGGAAUACCAGUAGCGAAGGCGACUUUCUGGAAACAAACUGACGAUGAGGUACGAAAGCGUGGGGAGCAAACAGG
rnacentral:rRNA from 1 species